rnacentral:tRNA from 1 species
GCCGUUCAUGGGCUGCGGGCGGUAGAUGUGCGGGGCCUGUUGGGCCCCGCUGGGCGGUGCCGCCGGAUGGCCGCCGGUCGGGUGGCG